AUGACACCAAAGCUAAGAGUCCAAUCAAGCAGGAGAGACCAGCCUCCCCUGUACCCAGCUGUGUGUCCAUGAAGAGUGACCAGUCUAUGGGUCCUCCUAUAAACUUAAGAGAGGGAGACUUUUCUAGUGAACAAAGAAUCCAACAGGAGAGAUCAGAGUCAGAGAUUCUCAGAG